rnacentral:pre_miRNA from 1 species
UGAUGAUGAUGAUGAUGAUGCUGAAGAUGAUGAUGAUGAUGAUUCAACAUCAUCACCGUCAUCGUCAUAAUCAUCAUCACCAUCAUCAUCAUCAUCAUCAUCAUCA